rnacentral:rRNA from 1 species
UACGUAGGGUGCAAGCGUUGUCCGGAAUUAUUGGGCGUAAAGAGCUCGUAGGCGGUCUGUCGCGUCGGCUGUGAAAACCCGGGGCUCAACCCCGGGCCUGCAGUCGAUACGGGCAGACUAGAGUGCGGUAGGGGAGACUGGAAUUCCUGGUGUAGCGGUGAAAUGCGCAGAUAUCAGGAGGAACACCGGUGGCGAAGGCGGGUCUCUGGGCAACAACUGACGCUGAGGAGCGAAAGCGUGGGGAGCGAACAGG